CGAACGGGUGAGUAACACGUGAGUAACCUGCCCCUGACUCUGGGAUAAGCGUUGGAAACGACGUCUAAUACUGGAUAUGAUCGCCGGCCGCAUGGUCUGGUGGUGGAAAGAUUUUUUGGUUGGGGAUGGACUCGCGGCCUAUCAGCUUGUUGGUGAGGUAAUGGCUCACCAAGGCGACGACGGGUAGCCGGCCUGAGAGGGUGACCGGCCACACUGGGACUGAGACACGGCCCAGACUCCUACGGGAGGCAGCAGUGGGGAAUAUUGCACAAUGGGCGAAAGCCUGAUGCAGCAACGCCGCGUGAGGGAUGACGGCCUUCGGGUUGUAAACCUCUUUUAGUAGGGAAGAAGCGAAAGUGACGGUACCUGCAGAAAAAGCACCGGCUAACUACGUGCCAGCAGCCGCGGUAAUACGUAGGGUGCAAGCGUUGUCCGGAAUUAUUGGGCGUAAAGAGCUCGUAGGCGGUUUGUCGCGUCUGCUGUGAAAUCCCGAGGCUCAACCUCGGGCUUGCAGUGGGUACGGGCAGACUAGAGUGCGGUAGGGGAGAUUGGAAUUCCUGGUGUAGCGGUGGAAUGCGCAGAUAUCAGGAGGAACACCGAUGGCGAAGGCAGAUCUCUGGGCCGUAACUGACGCUGAGGAGCGAAAGCAUGGGGAGCGAACAGGAUUAGAUACCCUGGUAGUCCAUGCCGUAAACGUUGGGCGCUAGAUGUAGGGACCUUUCCACGGUUUCUGUGUCGUAGCUAACGCAUUAAGCG
rnacentral:rRNA from 1 species